UACCCAGCAACUCCUAUCCCUACCUCCUCGCGGUACUGGCCGGGGUACGAGUAACCUUAGGGAAGAUCGGGUAACCAACCCCCGGUGGGAACUUUGGUCGUAUGCUGACAGGGAAGG
rnacentral:ribozyme from 1 species